rnacentral:lncRNA from 1 species
GUUGAGAGAUAUGAAGGAGGCUACUAGUCAUGUGAUCAAAUAAGUAUAGGUAAUAUUGAAAAAAUACCCAUAAAUCUGUGAACGCUUUCUUAUCCCCUUUUUGUCUCCUUUUGUGUUUUAGCACCUUCUGAGCGGUACUUUGAGGCCCUUGAAGUGAUUAUCACUUAGACCAUUGCCUUGGACACUUUCUUGAAAGGGCCAGCGUGCAUCCACUUGGCUCAGCUCUGUCCCAGAUUGAUGGAGCUCUUGUAGAGGGAACUGCACUUGACUCAAGAAGACUGAACGGUUGAACAUCACAUACCAAGAGUGACAUCCAAUUAAAAAAAAAAAAGCCUGCAGUCUGGGUCUGUCUUGGAAGCAAGAAAAAUGAAAAACUGCUAAUCAAAGGUCUUCCAGGAUAGAAAGCAGUUCUCUUUCUUCCCUCAUUAUUUGUUACUUGCUCUUUAUUCUGAGAAGACAAAGACAAAAAAGCCACUGAACAACAAGGUCUACUCUGGCUUCAGCAGAUGGCCAACUGCACCUGUUCUCAAGUCCAGUGCCUUUGGAAAACCCUCUUCCUAUGUCUCAAGUCAACCUAGCAGCUUCCCAGGACCCUUCCUAUACUGUCCCCAGGUCCAGGUUUACCACGGCUUAGACUGUCCCCAGCAGUGACACACAAGGACAAGCUUUCGCCUUCCACAUACGAAAACUGUAAUUAUUUGCCACAAGUGGCCUUCUCUUCCUGUUUCUGCCCAGCCUAAGUUUCAUUUAAGUUACCAGGUUAUGAAAUCAAACCUAAUUGCUAGCAAAAUCAGUGACUUGCAGAAGAACUUCACAUGGUAAGCGAAAUAGAGACAAGGAUGAACUCAAAAGGGGACGAGAACAGAAAAGACUCUGCAAAGUUGAGAGAGGCAGACGGGUCAGGGAGAACCACAGUGCUGCAAUUUCCAGUCGUCUGAAUUGACUCGCCGGGGUCGCCUCCUGAGGUUAUCUAAGGAAAUCCUUCUGAGUUUAAAGUGUGAAAAUAUAUUAUGUUUCCUUUGCGGACAGGGAUUGAAAUGUGGGGG